rnacentral:misc_RNA from 1 species
GAACUGCGAUAAGUAGUGUGAAUUGCAGAAUUCAGUGAAUCAUCGAGUCUUUGAACGCACAUUGCGCCCCCUGGCAUUCCGGGGGGCAUGCCUGUCCGAGCGUCAUUGCUACCCUCAAGCACGGCUUGUGUGUUGGGCCGCCGUCCGCCCCGCCCCGCGGGGGGGACGCGCCCGAAAGGCAGCGCCGGCACCGCGUCCGGUCCUCGAGCGUAUGGGGCUUCGUCACCCGCUCCGUGGGACCGGCCGGCGCCAGGCUUCGUCAACCACUUCUCGAAGAGAUAUCUAGGUUGACCUCGGAUCAGGAAGGGAUACCCGCUGAACUUAA